UGUAUUUGAAGAAUAAUUUGGAAAUGUUGUCAUUUUCACAAACUGCUGUUCAUCAGUCUGAUUAUUCUGCAUCUUCAUAUGCCUCAGAAACAUUAGAUAUAGAUUUUUUUUAAAGCAAGGCAUUUGGUGGAAGUGUAAUUUACCGUAUGGUUUAAUACAACUGUGAUUAAAGUCUGCUUUGAUUAUUAAGCAGCCCUUCACCCAAGAAGUACAAUAUCUCCGUUGCCAAUACACAAGAGCGUUCUGGAGGGAGUUUUGCUGUACUUUGGUGACUCUGUUCUGAAGGGCCUAUGUCCAAACAGGGACUAAAUCGGAGCAGCUGUGGGGCCACUUGAAUUUACAGAAGGGAUCAGAUCUACUGCAGUCUGAGGGUCUGUGCUGUAAAGCCCCUUUCCACUAGUGUCUCUGGACAUGACGUAGUUGUCCUCUUGGCUGUGACUCAGAUAAAGGAGAAAGGGCUGGAGAACAGAUGCUGUCAUGUUUCAGGGAACAGUGCAUCGGCUGCAUUAACAUUAGAUUGAAUGUCAUAUGCUAAAAUGGACGAAAAUUAAGGCCUGAUCUACCUCUGCUGGGGUUGGAGUUCCCCGUCAACUGUACCAGGCCCCCACCAAGGAACCUAGCUGAAACAAGUCACAGAUUCAUAGAAACAGUUUGAAAGAAACCAACUAUAAAUACCCAGUCACUUUCAAGAAACUUUUCUUGGCAACAGAAGCUAAAAUCAAGCACCGUAUCAAAUAAAAUGCGAAGCAUGCUACAAAGCUUAUCUGCUUUCUCUUGAAGAAAGCUUUGUGAGCAUAGCCACAAGCCACGAGCCAGUGCCGCGGCAAGCAGAACAACUCCAAAGACUUAAGAAUAAUUUUUUAAUAGUUUUCUCUAUUAAAACUCACCAGCGCCCUUCUUCUGCUUCUCCAGGAAGUUGUACCCGUCAGCACCUGCUGAGGGCUUUGUUGAUCAAACUGGCAGGUAAAAAAAUUCCUGUAGAAUAAAGCCAGACCAGCUGGCUUUGAAGAGAAACCCCCCAGUUUGGGUUGUGUUUGCCUCACUCACCCUCUCCUCGGCAGCCCCAGGCUUUUUCUCCUUUGGAUGUUGACCUGUAGGCUGCGUGAUGCAGGCGCACAAGUGUCUGGCAGGCCAAGGGGCACCUGCUUCUGUCAGUCCCGAGUAAAUUUAGCUGUAAAAGGUAUCACUGACAAGCAGACCUUUGUCAGCGCUGGCGAACGAACACAGCAUUGCCGUCCCCCUUCCAAGUACGCUGCGAGUUCAAAUGGAAAAUAUCAAAUCGGUCGUCUUAUCCAGGAAUUGCUUCUUCGAGAAGAAGGAAGGCCAAGUUGCUUGCAUGUGGCAAAAAACUUUCCUCCUUUACAUAGAUGUUAAAAUUACAGUAUUCCAAGAAUAAUCUCUGAACAAGACGGGGUUUUGUUCUAUUAAUUGUGGCUGGAAGGAAACUUUUUUUAAUGGAAAUACAGCACACACAUAUUUCAAUUCAGGUUAUUAAACUGUGUUAAGUAUUAAAGUUGAUUGCCUUUCUUUUCACUAACUCAUUGUGCUUUUUUACCCAAAGAAAUAUUAGAAGACUAAAACCUCUCAAAUAGGAGGUAUUAAUCUCAUUCCCAAAAUUAGAAAGCAUGCAGUGUUGAGAGACUGGAUGUCAAAAUUACAUGUUCGUAGCACUUAGGCAUUGGGAAUCUAGGAACCAACCACUUCUAAAAUGAGAGCUAAAGUAAAUGGAGACUCUUCUGAGAGAAGCGAUUAGAACUUGAUUUUCUUGUGCUUGUUGGAUUAAGGUUUUGUCGGAGUGGAAAAAAGUGAGAAGUGGUGCUGGGAUGCGUGUGAAUAGACCUGUACCAUUGCGCUGAAGGAGUGAAUGCAGCCACCCUCUGUGGGAACUCAGUGUCAAGAGGACAAACCAGCUAAAAUAGCAGCCAACAGUCAGUUAGCUCACCAGGGCUGUCUACGGACACUGCACCGCAGGUCCCAGUGGUGGAGAAUGAGUCCUUGUGCAGUCCACGAGAAGGCGGUGAACUCUUGGUUCCGUUGGUCUGGAUACCAGGUACCAGCUUGGCCCUAGAAUUGAUGAAACGGGAGUGCUUCUCCCUGUUCCCGCCUGCUCUCUGCUUUUGUGUGUUCCUCCGCUACAGCUGCACGCAUUAGCAGGCUGACUCCACUUUGAAAACCUUAAGCCGCAUUCUUCGGAACAGUUGCUUGGUGUUGGUCGGAUUUCUCUGCAGCCCUUUUUUCCAUUUGGAGCCACCGAGGCUGACACAUAGUUUCCAAGAACUUCAGCAUGUCUUCUGUCUCCUGAGUCGUCUCCUGAAUCCCAAAUAUUUCUCAAGUGGCUAGCAAAAGAAUAUCCGGAUAAUCUUCAGCCUGGUGAUACGAGCUUCGAGAAGAAAGCCAGAUGGCUUUGAAAAUGAAUUGUAAAGUAAUUAUUUCGUUUUAUGUUAGCUUGCUGCGUUUAAUACAUGUGUACUUUCAUUGUUACAGUUAGAGCAUUCAUGAGAUCUGAAGAGACUAUGAAAUCCCACUAAUUCUAGCACUAAUAACAGCUUUUAUUGGUCAGACUGUAAAUGAUAUUGCACGAUGAUUCAUUUGAAAAAGCAAUAAUGCAGCUUGAAAAAAUAAAAGAUGAGCAAUAAACCAAAACAAAAGAGCUUUUUGCCUUUCCCAAAACAACACUUUUCAUUCCUGACCUAGGUUUACUUUCCCCCUUCUUUAAGCAUCCGUUACAUUAUAUACUAAAAAUAAAUGUGUUUAAGGUUCAAACUUUAAGUCCAAAAUUACUGCCUUUCAGAUCAUUUAUUAUCCUUUCAGGCAUCUAAAAAAAUAGGUCAAAGCAACACUGCAUAAUUUGUAAAGGUAACAAAAUGUUUUUUGUGGAACAAAAAUGUAAAUAGAUGUAAUUACAAUAACCUUUAAAUGCAUUG